AAGCUGCUGUGUGGUUUUCUGGAGAGUCCACACUGUAGACUGGAUACUCUGAGAUUGGGUGAAUGCAGGUUGACAGAGAUCAGCUGUGCUUCUCUGGCCUCAGCUCUAAAGUCCAACCCCUCCCAUCUGAGAGGGCUGGAGCUGGGUGGAAACAAGUUGCAGGAUUCAGGAGUGAAGCUGCUUUGUGGUUUUCUGGAGAGUCCACACUGUAGACUGGAGACUCUGAGAUGGAAGUGAUCUCUGUCAGAGAGUGAGUGAUGAGAAAGGUGGUGGUGUUGAGAGAGGAUCAGCUGUGUCCUGAUGAUCCAGAGAGGUUGAAGCAGCAGCAUCAGCUUGUGUGUGGAGAGGCUCUGACUGGGCCAUGUUACUGGGAGGUAGAGUGGAGAGGAGAGCUUCAUCCAGCAGUGACUGACAGAGGAAUCACAACAGUGCUGCAGUCUGAACUGCUCUGAGAUCACAAAGUCAAGUCCACCAUCAUCCCUGUUUGUUCCUCUGGAUGUGACAGAGUAUCAUCAGUGUAUCUGGACUGCUCUGCUGCUGCUCUGUCCUUCUACAUAGUCUCUGCAGACACACACACCUUUUUAUUGAUAUAGUCUUUCUAUGACAUCCUUAUGACAUUUACUUCUAUUUUAGGAAAAAUCAAGUUUCGCUUAUUCAAAAAAGUAUUGCCGGUUAAGUAUAAAGGCCAGUGAUAAAUAUUUUGUCCGGUGCAGUGGUCAGUUUUAGGAGGGAAUAUGGUUGGUUAUUACUCACACAUUAUUCCAGGAACCAUUAGUUUAGGUUUCCUUUGGGUUAGACGACACUUCUUUCAAGAACUUUAUUCCACAGAAAGUGGGACAGGUAAAGUAGACUAUUUAAUGACUUUUAAGGCUUAACAUUUAUUAAAUUUAAGACUUUAACAGAAUUAAAUUUAACAAUUUAACAACUGCAGCAACAAGACAGAAUGUUUCAGCUACACAUUUUGAUGUUUCACAAAGUUUUAUAAGUUCAGACAUUCUCAUGAAGGACAGCAGUGAAAAAGUUUAGUCUAUUUAAAAAUUCCUGAGGAGUUUAUUUUCGUUGUUAGCUACCACGCUAGCCAGCCAAAGCUAGCUUCCUUAUAUUAGUCUCACAGCUAAUGCUAACAUCAAAGGCUUUCAGCGGCCACUAGCGGUGCUGUUUUAGGAUUGCAACCAGGUGUGUGCUCGUAUGCUUGCUCUGCUCGUACUCAUAAACGACAUGUGGCUUUUCACACAGGCAUGCUCUAAGUGAAUGUUCAAGUCACCGAGGAUGAGUAACGGACAGCCACACUCUGGGACAGAAAACAGCAGUGUGUCUAGCUCGUCCACAAGGUUACCGAUUUGUCCUGGGGACGGUAUGACAAUCACAGAGACUUUUACCGGAGCGGACACAAUGACAGCAUGAUAUUCGAAGGAGGCAUAUUUAUUUGGGACACCUCCCACUGUCUGGGAGGCGGGAGAAAGAGCAGUUGGUGGAAAGCGCAAUGCAAUUGAAUAAAAGCUGCAACUAAUGAUUAUUUUCAUAAUCGUAUAGUCUGCCAAUUAUAUUUUUGUCUGCUCAUCUCCACUUCUCCGACGACCAAGACCGAUGUGACAUCAUCAUUUAGUUGACCGUUUAGAAUCUCCCACCUUAGGAAUUUUGAAAACUGUAUAAGUAGUAUUUUAAAACUGAUUAUAAUGUGUGAGGGACUGGAUUAUUUAUCCCAAAGCUAAACUUGAAUGAUGUAUUCUUAUAUAUGAGAGUCAGAACGAGAAC